rnacentral:rRNA from 1 species
AGGUUACUGCUAUCGAGGUUCGACUAAGCCAUGCGAGUCGAAUGUAGCAAUACAUGGCGUACUGCUCAGUAACACGUGGAUAACCUACCCUUGAGUCGGGGAUAAACCCGGGAAACUGGGUAUAAUAUCCGAUAGAUCACGACUGCUGGAAUGCAUCGAGCUUUAAAGCUCCGGCGCUCAAGGAUGGAUCUGCGGCCUAUCAGGUAGUAGUGGGUGUAGCGUACCUACUAGCCUACGACGGGUACGGGUUGUGAGAGCAAGAGCCCGGAGAUGGAUUCUGAGACACGAAUCCAGGCCCUACGGGGUGCAGCAGGCGCGAAAACUUUACAAUGCUGGAAACAGCGAUAAGGGGACCUCGAGUGCCAGGUUACAAAUCUGGCUGUCGUGAUGCCUAAAAAGCAUUGCAUAGCAAGGGCCGGGCAAGACCGGUGCCAGCCGCCGCGGUAACACCGGCGGCUCGAGUGGUAACCGUUAUUAUUGGGUCUAAAGGGUCUGUAGCCGGCCGGAUAAGUCUCUUGGGAAAUCUGGCAGCUUAACUGUCAGGCUUUCAGGAGAUACUGUCUGGCUCGAGGCCGGGAGAGGUGAGAGGUACUUCAGGGGUAGGGGUGAAAUCUUGUAAUCCUUGAAGGACCACCAGUGGCGAAGGCGUCUCACCAGAACGGACCUGACGGCAAGGGACGAAAGCUAGGGGCACGAACCGGAUUA